rnacentral:rRNA from 1 species
CAUGGAGGGUGAGAAUCCCGUUCAUGGUUAAUCUUAAGGAAGCUCUACGAUACGUUUUCCAAGAGUCGAGUUGUUUGGGAUUGCAGCUCAAAAUGGGAGGUAAAUUUCUCCUAAGGCUAAAUAUUGGCGAGAGACCGAUAGCGAACAAGUACCGUGAGGGAAAGAUGAAAAGAACUUUGAAAAGAGAGUUAAACAGUACGUGAAAUUGUUGAAAGGGAAACGAUUGAAGUCAGUCAUACCAACGGGAAAUCAACCUUUUGAGCUUGGUUUCGUGGGUUUUGAAGAGUUUCAAAGCCUUCGGAUUCGCGAGAUUGGGAUCUCUUGGUGUACUUUUUCGUACGGUUAGUCAACAUCGGUUUUGAAUGUCAUAAAAUGACUGGAGGAAUGUAGCUUCGAUCUCGUAUUGAAGUGUUAUAGCCUUUGGUAGAUGUGAUGUUUGAGACCGAGGAUUGCAACGGAUACCCUUCAGGGCUAUUCGUCUGAUCUCUGAUACGUUGCCUUGAUGUUGAAAGCUUGCUUAUGAUGUUAGGGUAUUACGGUCACAAGGUUAGAACGGAUUACAUUCGUUAAGGAUGUUGACGUAAUGG